rnacentral:lncRNA from 1 species
UGAACUCUUCUAUGUGGCUUCUUAUAAAAGAGGGAAGGGCGACCAAGAUGAAGCAAAAAGAUAGCGAUGUUGGGUUCUAGAAAUUUUGAGAAACAGGGAAAAAAUAUAAGCCCUUUAAAGCUCUUCAAACCCCGGCGCUUGAGUCAGUCUUUCAAAGGGCAAAAAGAGAUAAGAGAGAGGAAAGAAAUAAAAAGGGAAAACUAAGAAUGAGAAGAAAACUACAUGCUUUUCUUCUUUCUGGAGGAAAAUGAUGACAGAGAGGAGAGAGAGAUAUUUUUCUAAAGAGAGAAAUGGUGGUGGACUGGUGGCGUUUUUUCUUGGUCGUUUCUUGGAAGGAAAAGGAAGCUUCUAU